CGGACGGGUGAGUAACGCGUGAGAAUCUGGCUUCAGGUCUGGGACAACCACUGGAAACGGUGGCUAAUACCGGAUGUGCCGAGAGGUGAAAGGUUAACUGCCUGAAGAUGAGCUCGCGUCUGAUUAGCUAGUUGGAAGCGUAAUGGACUCCCAAGGCGACGAUCAGUAGCUGGUCUGAGAGGACGAUCAGCCACACUGGGACUGAGACACGGCCCAGACUCCUACGGGAGGCAGCAGUGGGGAAUUUUCCGCAAUGGGCGAAAGCCUGACGGAGCAAUACCGCGUGGGGGAGGAAGGCUCUUGGGUCGUAAACCUCUUUUCUCAGGGAAGAACAAAAUGACGGUACCUGAGGAAUAAGCAUCGGCUAACUCCGUGCCAGCAGCCGCGGUAAUACGGAGGAUGCAAGCGUUAUCCGGAAUGAUUGGGCGUAAAGCGUCCGCAGGUGGCUAUGUAAGUCUGCUGUUAAAGAGUCUAGCUCAACUAGAUAAGAGCAGUGGAAACUACAAGGCUAGAGUACGUUCGGGGCAGAGGGAAUUCCUGGUGUAGCGGUGAAAUGCGUAGAGAUCAGGAAGAACACCGGUGGCGAAGGCGCUCUGCUAGGCCGUAACUGACACUGAGGGACGAAAGCUAGGGGAGCGAAUGGGAUUAGAUACCCCAGUAGUC
rnacentral:rRNA from 1 species